AUACAUGUCAUGCUUAGUACGGCGAGUGAAGCGGCAAAAGCUCAAAUUUGAAAUCUGGCACCUUCGGUGUCCGAGUUGUAAUUUGAAGAAGGUAACUUUGGAGUUGGCUCUUGUCUAUGUUCCUUGGAACAGGACGUCACAGAGGGUGAGAAUCCCGUGCGAUGAGAUGCCCAAUUCUAUGUAAAGUGCUUUCGAAGAGUCGAGUUGUUUGGGAAUGCAGCUCUAAGUGGGUGGUAAAUUCCAUCUAAAGCUAAAUAUUGGCGAGAGACCGAUAGCGAACAAGUACAGUGAUGGAAAGAUGAAAAGAACUUUGAAAAGAGAGUGAAAAAGUACGUGAAAUUGUUGAAAGGGAAGGGCUUGAGAUCAGACUUGGUAUUUUGCGAUCCUUUCCUUCUUGGUUGGGUUCCUCGCAGCUUACUGGGCCAGCAUCGGUUUGGAUGGUAGGAUAAUGACUAAGGAAUGUGGCUCUACUUCGGUGGAGUGUUAUAGCCUUGGUUGAUACUGCCUGUCUAGACCGAGGACUGCGUCUUUUGACUAGGAUGUUGGCAUAAUGAUCUUAAGCCACCCGUCUGAAAACCAGGGGAAAAAAAAAACGAAACGAGAAAAGGUAAAAAUAAAAACAAAAGAAAAUAAAAAGAACGGGU
rnacentral:rRNA from 1 species